rnacentral:rRNA from 1 species
UACGUAGGGUGCAAGCGUUAAUCGGAAUUACUGGGCGUAAAGCGUGCGCAGGCGGUUGUGCAAGACGGAUGUGGAAUCCCCGGGCUUAACCUGGGAAUUGCAUUCGUGACUGCACGGCUAGAGUGUGUCAGAGGGGGGUAGAAUUCCACGUGUAGCAGUGAAAUGCGUAGAUAUGUGGAGGAAUACCGAUGGCGAAGGCAGCCCCCUGGGAUAACACUGACGCUCAUAGGCCUGACGAAAAGCGUGGGGAGCAAACAGG